rnacentral:snRNA from 1 species
AUACUUACCAAGCAUGAGAGAUGCCAUGAUCACGAAGGUGCUUUUUCUAGGGUGAGGCUGAUCCAUUGUACUGGGAAUCUGCUGAUGUCUGAGAUUUCCCCAUGGUGGAAAUUCCACCGCCUAAAUUGUGCUGGUGGGGAGUUGUAUGUGCACUUUCCUC